GACCUGAGGUAUGGAAUGUGUCCUUUCAAGGGAGCAAGUGGAUGCCCUGGGGCUGAGAGGAAUCUUCUGGUGCACUCUUAUUUUGAAAAGCUCCCACUUAUGAAUGAGAGCAUGCAAUGUUUGGUUUUCUGUUCCUGUGUUAGUUUGCUAAGGAUGCUGGCUUUUAGCUUCAUUCAUGUUCUUGCAGAGGACAUGAUCUCAUUCCUUUUGAUGGCUGCAUAGUAUUCCAUGGCAUGGGAUCUGGAUGUCACCCAGGC